CGCGUAGGCGGCCAAGCAAGUCAGGGGUGAAAUCCCUCGGCUCAACCGAGGAACUGCCCCUGAUACUGCUUGGCUCGAGUCCCGGAGAGGGUAGUGGAAUUCCCAGUGUAGCGGUGAAAUGCGUAGAUAUUGGGAGGAACACCCGUGGCGAAGGCGGCUACCUGGACGGGUACUGACGCUGAGGCGCGAAAGCGUGGGGAGCAAACGAG
rnacentral:rRNA from 1 species